rnacentral:lncRNA from 1 species
UAAUUCCACCACCACCUGCGAAACACAUGGAAAGGCAGAAAUUCUUUCAGGAAAAGAAGGCUGAUGGUUCUGCUGUGUCUGGCCACAUGAGGGGUCUUUCGUUACACAGUCGCAAUGCCAGCAGUUCCUGCAGUGGAAGCAUAGAUUUUAGUGACUAGGGCGAUUUUCUCAACUCAUGGUUUUUCAUCAGUUUGUAUUUAGUGGUUUAUGGUGGUAUGUCUAUCUCAUGUACUGUUAAUGGGAGUGUUUUUUUACUGUUAGUCAGGUACUAGUGAGGUGUUACUUCUGUUUCUGAGGAGUUCUGCCCUAAGUUUGCACUUUUAAGCAAGCUGGAACUCUGUUACUGUCCUGGAAGGGAUUUGUACACGAGAUUUUUCUAUAUCAUAUACCUCACUGGUUAUCAUCAUUUUAUGAGAUAUUACUUUGGGGAAUAACUACUUCCCUUGGUGCAUGGCUGAAUAAUCAUCCCUGUAAAGUGUAGUUCACGAUGUUGUCUCUGACUCUUCCGUCUCUUGA